rnacentral:rRNA from 1 species
UGGGGAAUAUUGCACAAUGGAGGGAACUCUGAUGCAGCGACGCCGCGUGAGUGAUGAAGGAAUUCGUUUCGUAAAACUCUGUUCUAUGGGAAGAAAAGGACUGUACCAUAGGAGAAAGCUCCGGCUAAAUACGUGCCAGCAGCCGCGGUAAUACGUAUGGAGCGAGCGUUGUCCGAAAUUAUUGGGCGUAAAGGGUGCGCAGGCGGCUUUACAAGUUGGAUGUGAAAUAUUGUGGCUCAACCACAAACGUGCAUCCAAAACUGCAAAGCUUGAGUUAAGGAGAGGUAAGUGGAAUUCCUGGUGUAGCGGUGGAAUGCGUAGAUAUCAGGAGGAAUACCGGUGGCGAAGGCGACUUACUGGACUUAAACUGACGCUCAGGCACGAAAGCGUGGGGAGCAAACAGG